rnacentral:tRNA from 1 species
GGAGGAGUACCGAAGUGGUUGUAACGGGCCGCUCUCGAAAAGCGGUGUGCCAGCAAUGGCACCGUGGGUUCGAAUCCCACCUCCUCCG